rnacentral:lncRNA from 1 species
AAUUUGAAUAGAACGAGCUUCCUUGCAUUUAAAGCCAAGAUGGUGUAAGUGAUCCGUAACUAAUCUUCCCUUCGUAGCUGUAAGUGGAAUGCCCUCAAACUCUUCCUGAAAUAGGGACUCGAAAUCUAAUAGGUGAAGGACAACUGUUAGGAGAGAUCCUGGCAGAAGAUGCCAACUUGGGCAUUGAAAGUCACUAGUAUUCUCCGCAACAAGUCUUAUUCCUAUUGCUUUUAGUACCAUGUAACACCAUUGAUAGCCAUUUCUGAUCUAUCUAUCUAUUUGAGAACAAAUCCUAUGACUUCAUUCUCCUUUGAGUUCCGAUCUGACAUUCAUUUAGAAAGCAAAGAACUUAUUAAUCUAUAUAUGUAUAAUUAGAAAUCUCGGAUUGGAUUUGAACCAAUGCUCAUCAACGGAUCACGACGUGAACUGUCAACCGCUCUACCACCGAGCUACCGAGAAGAGAGGGAGGGACUGAUUGAUACAUGGAAGCCUAUAAGGUCAGUCCGCUCAUAAGAACAGUAUGACUAUCUUAGUCUCAUCAUGUGCCCUUAUUAAAGAAACCUAUCGAUUGAAGAUGUCAUUCAGGGACCCCUCGUUAUGGAUAGGUCUGGAAGAGCAUGGGAAAGAAGGAUCAUCUUGUUGCUUUAGUCAACCGUGAUUCGAUUAUGUUUUACAGCUAUUCAUUUGAUUGACUCUGUUCCGAAGGCGACUCUCUGCCUCAGGAAUCACUCUCAGGCUUGGGCCAUAUCUAAAUGAUAGACAACGAUUCCCUAAUGAGACGAAUUGACCGCAUUCAAGAAUAAAACUCAGGACGAAGGCUUAGAAAAUGAGUCUUUUGGGAGGACGAGAAGGGAAGCUCAGGUGGAGUGCUAGACUAGAAGGUAGAAAGCAAGGGGCGAUGAAGUCUUUGAUUCGGAUUGGUCAACAUUCCUUUCUUGUCUUGAAUCAGUCUAUGAGACCUUCUUUUGACUCUUCUCAAGGCAACAAAGACCGAGAGGAGCAAGAGGGAAGGUAUCAGGUCAGCGGGUAGAGACAAGAAAGAACCUAAUAGUUGGCGGGUUGGGCUCUACCUUCCUUGUAGUGAGUUUCUUAGGAAAGAUGUAAUAUGAGCAGAGAAUUUCCUUCUAUCCAGAGAUUGAAAGCAAUAAGAGCAGUAGGUCCAACGGAGUCUUUUGGGGCCCCGAAGGAGAGCUGGCAAUGGGCUCUUGCCUUACUUAACUUAAUGCGAGGUGCGAGUACAACCAUUUCCUAAAAUGGGGAUUCCAAGUAGUGUUGUUUUUGUUAUAUUAUAGUAGUUAGCAUGGGCACAUAAGGGGAAGCUAGCACUACAUUUGAUAUUCCUUGGUCUCUUUAGUAUUCAUGGCUCUAAAGGGGCUUUAGGUCCAACAGAGAGAAGACCUUUUUAGAGGCUCUUCAAGGCUUGGGCAGCAGAAACAAGGGCAUGUUCUUGUUGGGUGGAUUGAAUAUGCUACUACGGUCGUGCAACAGAAGUGAGCCUCGGAGAAUUAGUUAAUGCGACAUCUGACCUGCAAGACCUGCAAAUGGAACAUGGAUCCCUCGAUCCCUCCGACCUGCAAAUAGAGUAUGUUUGCCAAUAUGUAGGUUCAGCAAUCAAUGAGUGACUAAGACUUGAACCUAGGGGCGGUUCAGUUGAUAGAAUGAGUUCCC